UACGGGGGGGGGUAAGCGUUGUUCGGAAUUACUGGGCGUAAAGGGCUCGUAGGCGGCCAACUAAGUCAGACGUGAAAUCCCUCAGCUUAACUGGGGAACUGCGUCUGAUACUGGAUGGCUUGGAUUUGGGAGAGGGAUGCGGAAUUCCAGGUGUAGCGGUGAAAUGCGCAGAUAUCGGGAGGAACACCGGUGGCGAAGGCGGUUCUCUGGGCCUUACCUGACGCUGAGGAGCGAAAGCGUGGGGAGCGAACAGG
rnacentral:rRNA from 1 species